rnacentral:rRNA from 1 species
UUAAGGAACUCGGCAAAAUGCCCCCGUAACUUCGGGAGAAGGGGGGCCGGAUACGUUACAUGGCUUGCCCAUGGAAGCGUUGAUGGCCGCAGAGACCAGGCCCAAGCGACUGUUUACUAAAAACACAGGUCCGUGCGAAGAAGUAAUUCGAUGUAUACGGACUGACGCCUGCCCGGUGCUGGAACGUUAAGGGGACAGGUUAGCUGGUUUAGGCCGGCGAAGCUUUGAACUUAAGCGCCAGUAAACGGCGGUGGUAACUAUAACCAUCCUAAGGUAGCGAAAUUCCUUGUCGGGUAAGUUCCGACCUGCACGAAUGGCGUAACGACUUGGGCGCUGUCUCAACCAUGGACUCGGCGAAGUUGCAUUACGAGUAAAGAUGCUCGUUACGCGCAGCAGGACGGAAAGACCCCGGGACCUUUACUACAACUUGGUAUUGGUGGUCGGUACAACUUGUGUAGGAUGGGUGGGAGACUGUGAAGCUCGGACGCCAGUUCGGGUGGAGUCAUCGUUGAAAUACCACUCUGGUUGUUCUGGCUGUCUAACUUAGGUCCAUUAUCUGGAUCAGGGACAGUGCCUGGUGGGUAGUUUGACUGGGGCGGUCGCCUCCUAAAAGGUAACGGAGGCGCUCAAAGGUUCCCUCAGCCUGGUUGGCAAUCAGGUGUCGAGUGUAAGUGCACAAGCUUGACUGUGAGACAGACAUGUCGAGCAGGGACGAAAGUCGGAACUAGUGAUCCGGCGGUGGCAUGUGGGAGCACCGUCGCUCAACGGAUAAAAGGUACCCCGGGGAUAACAGGCUGAUCUUCCCCAAGAGUCCAUAUCGACGGGAUGGUUUGGCACCUCUCGGCUCGUCGCAUCCUGGGGCUGGAGUAGGUCCCAAGGGUUGGGCUGUUCGCCCAUUAAAGCGGCACGCGAGCUGGGUUUAGAACGUCGUGAGACAGUUCGGUCCCUAUCCGCUGCGCGCGCAGGAGACUUGAGAAGGGCUGCCCCUAGUACGAGAGGACCGGGGUGGACGAACCUCUGGUGUGCCAGUUGUUCCGCCAGGAGCACGGCUGGUUGGCUACGUUCGGGAGUGAUAACCGCUGAAAGCAUCUAAGCGGGAAGCACGCUUCAAGAUGAGGUCUCCCACCGAGUUAAUCGGGUAAGGCCCCCAGUAGACCACUGGGUUGAUAGGCCAGAAGUGGAAGCACCGUAAGGUGUGGAGCUGACUGGUACUAAUAGGCCGAGGGCUUGUCUC